AGUGAACGCUGGCGGUAGGCCUAACACAUGCAAGUCGAACGGCAGCACAGUAAGAGCUUGCUCUUACGGGUGGCGAGUGGCGGACGGGUGAGGAAUACAUCGGAAUCUACUUUUUCGUGGGGGAUAACGUAGGGAAACUUACGCUAAUACCGCAUACGACCUACGGGUGAAAGCAGUGGAUCUUCGGACCUUGCGCGAAUGAAUGAGCCGAUGUCGGAUUGGCUAGUUGGCGGGGUAAAGGCCCACCAAGGCGACGAUCCGUAGCUGGUCUGAGAGGAUGAUCAGCCACACUGGAACUGAGACACGGUCCAGACUCCUACGGGAGGCAGCAGUGGGGAAUAUUGGACAAUGGGCGCAAGCCUGAUCCAGCCAUACCGCGUGGGUGAAGAAGGCCUUCGGGUUGUAAAGCCCUUUUGUUGGGAAAGAAAAGCAGCAGGUUAAUACCCCGCUGUUCUGACGGUACCCAAAGAAUAAGCACCGGCUAACUUCGUG
rnacentral:rRNA from 1 species